AAAUCAGAUAGAACGCGUUGGCAGGUGCACGAAGGCAGAUUAACGAAGACGUUGAGAAGGAAGCAUGAAGGCGGCGGCGCUGCAUCCGGGUCCCUGCUCAUUGCAGGUCACGAAGAGGACCGAAGGAAGAAGAAUCUCGCAGGCGGCUAAUCCUGAUGUCUUGGUCGAUCGAUCGCGAAGAGGGACGCGUCUCCAGGGUCGACGAGGCCGAAGGAAAAGAAGGGAGAAGUAGCGAGGCUGCUCGUGCCUCGGUGGGUGCAGUGAGGGGAUGCUCAAGCAGCUUCUUGGCUGCUUGCUUCGGCUGUGGUAGAGAGAUGCGAAGGAAGUCCGGUCGGCAGCAACACGACGUAGAUGGGGGCUUCGGUGGUGUUUGCUUGACGGAAGAAGAAGAUAAGUGAGAAGGGUAGGGUUGUUGCCUCGAUGGUUCACCGAAGCAUCACCACAGUCGGUGGUUCAUGACAGAGGAUGAAGAAACAGGCAGAAAAUCAAGGAAGAAAGGUAAUCGACCCCUCUAAUGGGUGUGUUCUUGACUAAAAUCUCUUGGAUGAAUGUUUGGUUUAUUCAUUUGACAGGGAAAGAAAGGGAAGAGGGGAAAAGGGCUGAAGAUGAUGACGAAUUCCUGAGUGUUUGUGGGUUUUGAUGUUUCAUUUGACAACUUCAUUUGAGAAAGGAAACACGUUUCCUUUGUGUGUAGCCUUGGGAAUGUGUGUAGCUUUGGGUAACUAACAUUUCAAUUUGGUUGUCAAUUAAAUUCUAUGAUUGGCUUACUUUGUAUGAAACUUGCAGCAAUGUAUUGGUUUAAUCAUUCAUGUAUUUGUGUAA